GUUGGAUAGUGCAGUGGUAAGCACUCCGGAGUCAUAUUCGCAAGGUCACCGGUUCGAGUCUAGUAGAUAACA